rnacentral:rRNA from 1 species
GACGAACGCUGGCGGCGUGCUUAACACAUGCAAGUCGAACGGAAAGGCCCUGCUUUUGUGGGGUGCUCGAGUGGCGAACGGGUGAGUAACACGUGAGUAACCUGCCCUUGACUUUGGGAUAACUUCAGGAAACUGGGGCUAAUACCGGAUAGGAGCUCCUGCUGCAUGGUGGGGGUUGGACAGUUUCGGCGGUUGGGGAUGGACUCGCGGCUUAUCAGCUUGUUGGUGGGGUAGUGGCUUACCAAGGCGUUGACGGGUAGCCGGCCUGAGAGGGUGACCGGCCACAUUGGGACUGAGAUACGGCCCAGACUCCUACGGGAGGCAGCAGUGGGGAAUAUUGCACAGUGAGCGGAAGCCUGAUGCAGCAACGCCGCGUGCGGGAUGACGGCCUUCGGGUUGUAAACCGCUUUCGCCUGUGACGAAGCGUGAAUGACGGUAAUGGGUAAAGAAGCACCGGCUAACUACGUG